AGUGGGUACCUUUGUGGAUCAACAGACGUAACAGCUGAGAUCACAUUCACAAUAAAUGGAGGAUAACAUUAUGCUACAGCUUGAUUUGAAGGGAGGGCUGGGCUGACCACAGAGUUAGGCAGCAGAAGAGAGAAGCCGAACCACCACAAAAUGCCACUUUACUUGACAGCUGGCAGAGAGCAAGGAUCUAGCACAGACUUCCUUCAGUACCAGAAGAACUAAGAUUGAACCUAAAGACACAAUUUUUCUGACUUAAUACUCAAAUCCUUCAAAAAGCCAUCACCUGUUUGACUGCAGCAGCUUUGGGGAAAUCUGGAUGGCCUCAGCAGCAAGCCACCUGAAUCACUAUGUUUACCUCAACUUAGUCCGGAAUAAACGGAGUGGAUAAGUGUAUUAAUUUUUAAUACAAAGAAAUCAAGAAAUAAACAAAUUAACAUUACAACUCCCAUCCACGUAACAAAGAGCUUUCUUCAAUUUGACCACUCUAAGUGCCCACAGGAUGACCUGCCUCAUUUUUUCUCAAGCCCUUGGGAAUCGUGCCAAACAGGAGGAAGAAUUUUCACUACCCUGACCUCUUCAUCUGUACGGGCAGAACUUUGGUGGGCAAAGUACUGAAAUACAUCCAGAAAAAGCAAAGUUUUUUACACGCAGAAGCUAUAUAUCAUCAUCCUGUCUAGAUCUGUUGUAUUACUGCCAUAGCCAGUGGACAUCAGAGUGGCACAGCACAGCAGCAGUCUAUCUGGAGCAUUCUCCACUCUACUUCAUUUUCAAGAAUUUUGAGAGCUAACAGAACAGCAGGAUGGACAAUCUACAGAAAAAUGAGCAAACUCACAUUUAGUAUACCAUGCUGAACCAGUUAUCAAAACAUGCAUCUGGCUAUUUUGUUCAAUACCCAGCCUGAUCACUGCGGUGAACCACAUAAUUUCAUACCUCCUACAGAUACUGACACCCUUAAAGCUCAUCUUUUGCAGAAAACUUGAUGGGUAUAUACAGUACAGCUCUAUGUGCAUCAGUUUUAUAAUGCUCCAUUUCUUCCCUCCCUAUAUAAAAGUUAUCCAGUAACUUCAACAGAACAAAUCACAACCCCUUCCGACAGCCGCAAACGUUCCAACAAAAAGCAAACCAACAAGGUAUACCUGAAACAGAGAACCAGCUUUGCAGACUCUUUCCACAAAGAGUGUUUUACCACCUUUCUCUUUUUGUUUUGUGCUUUUCUGCUUUUUAUUUUUAAAUAAAAGUCAACUCCCAUUAGCAAAAGAAGCCUUCUAUUACAAGGCCCUACUUCCCUAAAAGAUACUUCCUGCAACACAAGGGUGACAAUUCAGUUUACUUUCUACAGUGAUUUAAUGGAGUAGGCAGUUAAUGUAUGUAUGCUUCUAACACUCUCAAUGACAAAAUUGACUCAGACAGUUGGAGAGACAUCUGGAUCUUAUUUACAGGUUAAUCUGUUACCAGAUUUGAUUUGACACACUGACUUAACAACACACAGGUUUUCGUGCCCAUGAACUGACCAGUUUCAUAUGCACUCCUGCUUGUUGCUUAGCUCAAGAACUCGCCUACCAGAAAUACUCCUCGAACAACCUCAACAAUAGAAAUUCACAGGUUAAGAAAAUGCUCUCAGUUAGCACACCUCUGCAAAAACAUGGAAGGCAUUUCUAGAAACUUAUCAAAGAGCAGCAAUUUAUAUACCUAAAUGUAUAUGUGUAUAUGUAUAUAAAUAGUGCUACAGAACACAUGCUGAGGCAAUUGCAAAUGUGAAUGAAGAGUUUUAAAAUAAAAUCAAACCUAUAUCUCAAUUAAAAAAAGAAUAAAAAGCCAAACAAAAAACCAACCCUGAGAUCAAAAGCAUCUUACUAGAAGGACAAAGAAAAUGAAAUGGAAACUAUGAAUGCAACUUACAGAAAGCAACUGUGACAACCAACAAAAUGUAAGAGGGAAACUAAAAGGUCUGCAGUCUGCAACUGGCUCCUUCCCCCACAUUAAAAUAGACAUCAGACCCCUCGCUAGGAUCCCUACACUAGUGCUGCUCAGCAAAACUACUAACCAGCAGAGUUGCUUUGUUACUUGUUUAGUAAAUAUGUUAAGUAACUGGCAGUAGAUAGGUUCACAGAGAGGAAGGAAGGAGAAUCAUAAAACAGCAGAUGCCAAGACUAAAAAGCUAGCACAGAGCAGGAUCUACACCAGUAAAGUAUGACCAGCAUACCAUGACCAAUAAGGACAAAAGCCACCCUGCUUCAGGACUCACGUAUUUUAAAAAUAUGUUUAUCAUUUUACCCAAUAAAACACUGGAGAUCUUACCAAUAAAAUGCUUAAAACAUU